AUUGAACGCUGGCGGCAGGCCUAACACAUGCAAGUCGAGCGAGCGGCGGACGGGUGAGUAAUGUCUGGGAAACUGCCUGAUGGAGGGGGAUAACUACUGGAAACGGUAGCUAAUACCGCAUACCAUCAGAUGUGCCCAGAGGGGAGUAGCUAGUAGGUGGGGUAACGGCUCACCUAGGCGACGCUCCCUCGCUGGUCUGAGAGGAUGACCCGCAACACUGGAACUGAGACACGGUCCAGACUCCUACGGGAGGCAGAAGUGGGGAAUAGUGCACAAUGGGCGAAAGCCUGAUGCAGCCAUGCCGCGUGUGUGAAGAAGGCCUUCGGGUUGUAAAGCACUUUCAGCGGGGAGGCGUUACCCGCAGAAGAAGCACCGGCUAACUCCGUGCCAGCAGCCGCGGUAAUAC
rnacentral:rRNA from 1 species